AUUGAACGCUGGCGGCAUGCUUUACACAUGCAAGUCGAACGGCAGCACGGGGGCAACCCUGGUGGCGAGUGGCGAACGGGUGAGUAAUAUAUCGGAACGUACCCGGAAAUGGGGGAUAACGUAGCGAAAGUUACGCUAAUACCGCAUAUGCCCUAAGGGGGAAAGCGGGGGAUUCGCAAGAACCUCGCGUUUUCGGAGCGGCCGAUAUCGGAUUAGCUAGUAGGUGAGGUAAAGGCUCACCUAGGCGACGAUCCGUAGCUGGUCUGAGAGGACGACCAGCCACACUGGAACUGAGACACGGUCCAGACUCCUACGGGAGGCAGCAGUGGGGAAUUUUGGACAAUGGGCGCAAGCCUGAUCCAGCCAUGCCGCGUGAGUGAAGAAGGCCC
rnacentral:rRNA from 1 species